AUUGAACGCUGGCGGCAUGCCUUACACAUGCAAGUCGAACGGCAGCACGGGAGCAAUCCUGGUGGCGAGUGGCGAACGGGUGAGUAAUAUAUCGGAACGUGCCCAGUCGUGGGGGAUAAC
rnacentral:rRNA from 1 species